UACAGAGGGUGCGAGCGUUAAUCGGAAUUACUGGGCGUAAAGCGCGCGUAGGCGGCUUUGCAAGUCGGGUGUGAAAUCCCCAGGCUUAACCUGGGAACUGCAUUCGAGACUGCAUUGCUAGAGUAUGGGAGAGGGAAGUGGAAUUUCCGGUGUGAGCGGUGAAAUGCGUAGAUAUCGGAAGGAACAUCAGUGGCGAAAGCGACUUCCUGGACCAAUACUGACGCUCAUGUGCGAAAGCGUGGGGAGCAAACAGG
rnacentral:rRNA from 1 species